GAUGAACGCUAGCGGCAGGCUUAAUACAUGCAAGUCGUGGGGCAGCAUGAAUGUAGCAAUACAUUUGAUGGCGACCGGCAAACGGGUGCGGAACACGUACACAACCUUCCUACAAGUGGGGAAUAGCCCAGAGAAAUUUGGAUUAAUACCCCGUAACAUAGCGAUGUGGCAUCACAUUGCUAUUAUAGCUUCGGCGCUUGUUGAUGGGUGUGCGGCUGAUUAGAUAGUUGGCGGGGUAACGGCCCACCAAGUCUACGAUCAGUAGCUGAUGUGAGAGCAUGAUCAGCCACACGGGCACUGAGACACGGGCCCGACUCCUACGGGAGGCAGCAGUAAGGAAUAUUGGACAAUGGACGCAAGUCUGAUCCAGCCAUGCCGCGUGAAGGAUUAAGGUCCUCUGGAUUGUAAACUUCUUUUAUAAGGGACGAAAAAAGGUCUUUCUAGAUCGUCUGACGGUACCUUAUGAAUAAGCACCGGCUAACUCCGUGCCAGCAGCCGCAGUAACAC
rnacentral:rRNA from 1 species